GGAGCCUGGCGGCUUCCGCAGCCUGGUGGAGGCGGCUCGCUUGCUCCGGCCAUGUUCGGCAGCCCCCGCAGGGCUAAGUUUGGAAUCUGUCCCCUGGAGGGA
ensembl:misc_RNA